GGAUUAAGAGCUUGCUCUUAUGAAGUUAGCGGCGGACGGGUGAGUAACACGUGGGUAACCUGCCCAUAAGACUGGGAUAACUCCGGGAAACCGGGGCUAAUACCGGAUAACAUUUUGAACCGCAUGGUUCGAAAUUGAAAGGCGGCUUCGGCUGUCACUUAUGGAUGGACCCGCGUCGCAUUAGCUAGUUGGUGAGGUAACGGCUCACCAAGGCAACGAUGCGUAGCCGACCUGAGAGGGUGAUCGGCCACACUGGGACUGAGACACGGCCCAGACUCCUACGGGAGGCAGCAGUAGGGAAUCUUCCGCAAUGGACGAAAGUCUGACGGAGCAACGCCGCGUGAGUGAUGAAGGCUUUCGGGUCGUAAAACUCUGUUGUUAGGGAAGAACAAGUGCUAGUUGAAUAAGCUGGCACUUUGACGGUACCUAACCAGAAAGCCACGGCUAACUACGUGCCAGCAGCCGCGGUAAUACGUAGGUGGCAAGCGUUAUCCGGAAUUAUUGGGCGUAAAGCGCGCGCAGGUGGUUUCUUAAGUCUGAUGUGAAAGCCCACGGCUCAACCGUGGAGGGUCAUUGGAAACUGGGAGACUUGAGUGCAGAAGAGGAAAGUGGAAUUCCAUGUGUAGCGGUGAAAUGCGUAGAGAUAUGGAGGAACACCAGUGGCGAAGGCGACUUUCUGGUCUGUAACUGACACUGAGGCGCGAAAGCGUGGGGGGGCAAACAAGAUUAGAUACCC
rnacentral:rRNA from 1 species